GGGUCCGUAGCUCAGCUAGGUAGGAUACUAAGGCAUCUUAUAUCCCUAGAAAGAGCGUCUGGCUUUUAACCAGACGGUCAGGGGUUCGAAUCCCCUCGGACCCGCCA
rnacentral:tRNA from 3 species